rnacentral:misc_RNA from 1 species
CGCAUUUUUAAUGGCAUACUGUUUUAAGGAAAACAUAAUCAGACGUAAAAUUGUUAAACCAUGUCAAUCAAUCUGGAUAAAUGUUGAACAUUCUUGGUUUUCAAAAAAGACUAUUUCUUCCUCUUGCAUGCACUUUCACAACAAAAGCAACAUCAUACAUUGUGUUGACUUAAAUUUUGUAUUAAAGAUUCAUAUGCUCUUAUUUUUUCAAAUCCAAGUGAUGCAGCCAAGAAAUUCCAGAAAAUUCAUAGUCAAAUAUCCAAGAGUCUAAGGAUAUGUUUGGUAGAAGGUUAAAAAUUCAAAAAUUAAAUGUUAUCCUUGUAAGUUUUAACCUUUAAGAGGUAAUUAUUAAUCUAAUCCCCAAGGUUAACAUUACUCUCCUAAGAUGGUAUAAAUACUAAUGGAAUAAAAAGUUAUCAUAGUUUCUUUAAGUAUACAAACAACAUUAAUGAGAGGUUAAA